GAAAUGAACAUACAAUAAGCGAAGAGUAAAUCCAGUUGGAUUUUUUUCCCUCUCUGUACCUUUUCUCAAUCUAUAAAUUGCAGCUGAUUGUCUAUUCUUGCCAAGUUGUCGAUGUGAUAGUUCAGUAGCAGUUGGUAAACAAAACGAACAAAAUAUACUCUGCUGGAUGCGAUCGCAUAUUUAUUAAUGAAAGCGAAAUUAGUAAAUAAAUAAUUGAAAAUAGUCCUAUAGAACAAAUUCUUUGUUCACUUUUUCAAAAAAUCAGCCAUUCACAAAGUGAUUUAUUAUAACAUUCCAUUUUAUCCAGUAUCUUUUAUGUACCGAUAAUGUCUCUGUACAAAAUAAGGGUUGCUGGUCUGGAAGAUAUUUUACAGCAAGACGUUAUUGACUUGAAAUCGCUCAGAGAUUUUUGCUUCUAUGGUAUUCCUGAUUGCAAUGGAUUGCGCUCACUAUGUUGGAAGUUGAUGCUGGGUAUUUGGGCCCGAAGAAAGACACUUGGUCUGCUACAUUGACAAAGAAACGUGAAUUAUACAAGCAGUUCAUUGAAGAAAUGGUUAUUCCUCCUGGCGAUGGGGAACAAGGCCGAAGCAGUUGUGUCGAUCACCCAUUGAGCGAUGGG